rnacentral:lncRNA from 1 species
CCUUUCCUCACAAAGAACCUCUACAAAGAUGACUUUGCCACGUUGGUGAACAAAAACAGCUUGCUUAGUGUUGAGACAAACAGCUUCUUUUGUUUAGGAUAACCUAGAAGGAAGGCCAGGAGGUGAUGUGGGCAGUGGUUUGAACCUAGCCUUUCAGUUGUCUUUAUAGAGGUCAUCAGCAUUCAAGAGCACAAACAGGGGUUGGGGAUUUAGCUCAGUGGUAGAGUGCUUGCCUAGCAAGCGCAAGGCCCUGGGUUCGGUCCUCAGCUCCGGAAAAAAAAAAUAAAAGAGCACAAACAUCUCUUUAGACACAUGGCUUUAGAGGCUUUUAUCACAGUCUCAGGUUCGGGGAUGUAGAGUUCAGGGUCCCUCCUCUAGUGGUCCAGACGCAGAUCUUAGAAAGCUUCAUUCCAGGUGUGGAGGGGUGUUGGGCUUCUUUCACAGUCCUGGCUCCAAGGGAUCAGAGUAUGCGACAUGACCACAUUUGGGGGAAUGACCUUUCAGAAACCAUCACCGAGUGUCUUAGGAAGCAGCUGGAGCAACUGCAGUCCCUAACGGAAGCUCUUGGAAGACUGCACCUUGGCUCAUCACCUGGUGGGUCCGGGGAGCCCUUGGCCUUAAGCACCUCGAAUGUGAAGUGUGUAUGCUAUGGUCUUGGGACCUUUGCCUCCUGCCCCGCUGCUCGGAUCCAGCUUGCUUUUUUGCUUCUCUUUCUGGAGAAGUGC